CGUCAGGGGCCGUGGAACGGCGGCUGGUGAAUCCCGCCAGGUCCUAACGGAAGCAACGGUAACUUGUCCUCCAUUGCCGCGGCUCCCUGGCACCC
rnacentral:SRP_RNA from 1 species